rnacentral:rRNA from 1 species
UGAGGAAUAUUGGACAAUGGGGGAAACCCUGAUCCAGCCAUGCCGCGUGAGUGAUGAAGGCCUUCGGGUUGUAAAGCUCUUUCGGGUGUGAAAAUGAUGAUGGUAACACCAGAAGAAGCCCCGGCUAACUCCGUGCCAGCAGCCGCGGUAAUACGGAGGGGGCGAGCGUUGUUCGGAAUCACUGGGCGUAAAGCGUGCGUAGGCGGUUAUACAAGUCAGAAGUGAAAUCCCAGGGCUCAACCUUGGAAUUGCUUUUGAGACUGUAUGACUAGAGAUCUAGAGAGGUUGGGGGAAUUCCGAGUGUAGAGGUGAAAUUCGCAGAUAUUCGGAGGAACACCAGUGGCGUAGGCGCCCAACUGGCUAGAUACUGACGCUGAGGCACGAAAGCGUGGGGAGCAAACAGG